AAUAUAUGGUGAUAAUAACUACAAAUCAAGCUCCCUCAAGAAAAUGCAUAUGAAAGUUAGUAUACCAGCCUCUCCUGAUCCUGAUUCAAGUCAUUCAACUUUUUGACGGCUUAAAGGCAAGAUCAGGAUCUUAUUAACAACAAUGAUGAUAACUACAUGUCAAGGUCUCUCAUGCAAGAAAUACCACUACCUCAGUAUAUUUCAUUUUCAGGAAGGUUUUCGGCUAUCAAAAUAAUCUGUAUGCAUUUUAUUGAUUCAAUCAUUGUUAUAUACAGCACAAGCCAACUCUGCAUUUUCUUUUGAUGCAUGGUUAAUUCUUUACAGGAAUAUUUAAUUCAGCAUGCCUUUACCACUUUAUUAUAUAUUUUCUGCCCAUCAACCGAAACAUAGGUUCUUCCCUCAUGAAAAUUUUUGAAAGGUGAUAAAUAAUACAUUUGCCUCUCUACUUUGUCAUGUAUUUUGCAUAUUUGAUCAAAUAAAUAGAAAAAUACGUUAUGUACUCCAAAAUGUGCAAGGAGUUCAAAGAUUAGCUAAGUUAUGAUAACAAAAAUACAUGAAUUCUACGUUAGUAAUGUCAAAGUAAACAAGAACAAUUAGUGACUAACAAUCCUGCUGAUAGUUACUCUGGUUCACUGAACAAUACCUUUCUUUUCUUUUAGAAUACAAUUAGAUACAGCUGCAGAAAUAUUUCUUGAAGUUUGGGGAUCAAUAGUAGAUGAAUCUAUUAAUAAUUGCGGUCUUACAGAAUUCCCUCCUUGAAGCAAACCAUUUGGUCCAUUGUAGACAUCCAAUACCUACACAAAAUAAGAUUAAGUUUUCACACUUUACACAUGUUUAGCAAAAAUAAAAACCUUGAAGAAAGAAAACUUUCCUUGGUUGAGCAUAUGUGAUGAUCAAAACUUAACUUGCUUUAGUAUGCAUUAAAGGAAGAUGCAGGUUGUCACCAGAAGAGGAGCUAUAUUCUUGCUUGAAUAACCAUCAAGGCCAGCCAGAACAGAGAAAAAUCGUGUGUGCACGUAUGUGUGUUUUAGGUCAGCAAACUGAAUCAUAAUACUCACAU
rnacentral:lncRNA from 1 species